rnacentral:rRNA from 1 species
AAAGGAAGAUUAAUACAAGAUGGCAUCAUGAGUUCACAUGUUCACAUGAUUAAAGGUAUUCCGGUAGACGAUGGGGAUGCGUUCCAUUAGAUAGUAGGCGGGGUAACGGCCCACCUAGUCUUCGAUGGAUAGGGGUUCUGAGAGGAAGGUCCCCCACAUUGGAACUGAGACACGGUCCAAACUCCUACGGGAGGCAGCAGUGAGGAAUAUUGGUCAAUGGGCGCAGGCCUGAACCAGCCAAGUAGCGUGAAGGAUGACUGCCCUAUGGGUUGUAAACUUCUUUUAUAAAGGAAUAAAGUCGGGUAUGUAUACCCGUUUGCAUGUACUUUAUGAAUAAGGAUCGGCUAACUCCGUGCCAGCAGCCGCGGUAAUACGGAGGAUCCGAGCGUUAUCCGGAUUUAUUGGGUUUAAAGGGAGCGUAGAUGGAUGUUUAAGUCAGUUGUGAAAGUUUGCGGCUCAACCGUAAAAUUGCAGUUGAUACUGGAUAUCUUGAGUGCAGUUGAGGCAGGCGGAAUUCGUGGUGUAGCGGUGAAAUGCUUAGAUAUCACGAAGGACUCCGAUUGCGAAGGCAGCCUGCUAAGCUGCAACUGACAUUGAGGCUCGAAAGUGUGGGUAUCAAACAGGAUUAGAUACCCUGGUAGUCCACACGGUAAACGAUGAAUACUCGCUGUUUGCGAUAUACGGCAAGCGGCCAAGCGAAAGCGUUAAGUAUUCCACCUGGG